rnacentral:lncRNA from 12 species
GGAUAUUUGGGACGUUUGGGACACUGGGGACAUUGGGGGGUUGGGGACAUUGAGGACACUGGGGACACUGGGGGAUGGGGACAAAGGUGGUGGCAUCAGCCCCAGGGGAGGUGACAGUGACCCAGGGAGGUGACAGCCAGCCCAGGCAGAGGUGACAACGCCCCCAGGGAGGUGACAGGGGCGCGUCCUUGUCCCCAAGGUCGGGUACAGCAUCCGCUUCGAGGACUGCACGUCGGAGCGCACGGUGCUCAAGUACAUGACGGACGGGAUGCUGCUGAGAGAGUUCCUGACAGAGCCGGACCUGGCCUCCUACAGUGUGAUCAUGGUGGACGAGGCCCACGAGCGCACCCUGCACACGGACGUGCUCUUCGGCCUCAUCAAGGACAUCGCGCGCUUCCGGCCGCAGCUGAAGGUGCUGGUGGCCUCGGCCACGCUGGACACCGAGCGCUUCUCGGCCUUCUUCGACCACGCGCCCGUCUUCCGCAUCCCGGGGCGGCGCUUCCCCGUGGACAUCUACUACACCAAGGCUCCCGAGGCCGAUUACCUGGAGGCCUGUGUGGUGUCAGUGCUGCAGAUCCACGUCACCCAACCCCCCGGGGACAUCCUGGUGUUCCUCACCGGGCAGGUCAGUGUCACCUCAGUGUCACCUCGGUGUCCCCCUGCCACCUCCCGGUGUCCCCAUCCCCACAGAUGUCCCUGUUCCCCUGAGAGUUCACCAGUGUCCCCAAUUUCCUGUCACAAGUCAUUGUCCCCCUGGUGUCCCCAGUGUCCCAAAUCCCCUCAUCACACAGCUUCUGCUUCUCUCCCUCUUAGCUCUGUUCCUCAAACACUGGAAGCAGCACCACCCAGUGUCCCCAAUGUCUCCAAUGUCCCCAAUGUCACAAAUCCCCUCAAUGUCCCCAGUGUCCCCAAUGUCCCCAAUAUCCCCAAUCCCCCCAAAUGUCCCCAACCCCCCCCCCCCCCCCCCCCCCCCCCCCCCCCCCCCCCCCCCCCCCCCCCCCCCCCC